GGCGGCGUGCUUAACACAUGCAAGUCGAGCGGAAAGGCCCCUUCGGGGGUACUCGAGCGGCGAACGGGUGAGUAACACGUGAGCAACCUGCCCCUGACUCUGGGAUAAGCCUGGGAAACCGGGUCUAAUACCGGAUAUGACGUGCUCCCGCAUGGGAUGUUCGUGGAAAGUUUUUCGGUUGGGGAUGGGCUCGCGGCCUAUCAGCUUGUUGGUGGGGUGAUGGCCUACCAAGGCGACGACGGGUAACCGGCCUGAGAGGGCGACCGGUCACACUGGGACUGAGACACGGCCCAGACUCCUACGGGAGGCAGCAGUGGGGAAUAUUGCGCAAUGGGCGGAAGCCUGACGCAGCGACGCCGCGUGGGGGAUGACGGCCUUCGGGUUGUAAACCCCUUUCAGCAGGGACGAAGCGGAAGUGACGGUACCUGCAGAAGAAGCGCCGGCUAACUACGUGCCAGCAGCCGCGGUAAUACGUAGGGCGCAAGCGUUGUCCGGAAUUAUUGGGCGUAAAGAGCUCGUAGGCGGUUUGUCGCGUCCGUCGUGAAAGCCCACAGCUUAACUGUGGGUCUGCGGUGGAUACGGGCAGACUAGAGGCAGGUAGGGGAGAACGGAAUUCCCGGUGUAGCGGUGAAAUGCGCAGAUAUCGGGAGGAACACCGGUGGCGAAGGCGGUUCUCUGGGCCUGUACUGACGCUGAGGAGCGAAAGCGUGGGGAGCGAACAGGAUUAGAUACCCUGGUAGUCCACGCCGUAAACGUUGGGCGCUAAGGUGUGGGGUCCUUCCACGGAUUCCGUGCCGGUAGCUAACGCAUUAAGCGCCCCGCCUGGGGAGUACGGCCGC
rnacentral:rRNA from 1 species